rnacentral:rRNA from 1 species
GAUGAACGCUGGCGGCGUGCCUAAUACAUGCAAGUCGAGCGAACAGAUGAGGAGCUUGCUCCUCUGACGUUAGCGGCGGACGGGUGAGUAACACGUGGAUAACCUACCUAUAAGACUGGGAUAACUACGGGAAACCGGAGCUAAUACCGGAUAAUAUAUUGAACCGCAUGGUUCAAUAGUGAAAGACGGUUUUGCUGUCACUUAUAGAUGGAUCCGCGCCGCAUUAGCUAGUUGGUAAGGUAACGGCUUACCAAGGCAACGAUGCGUAGCCGACCUGAGAGGGUGAUCGGCCACACUGGAACUGAGACACGUGCCAGACUCCUACGGGAGGCAGCAGUAGGGAAUCUUCCGCAAUGGGCGAAAGCCUGACGGAGCAACGCCGCGUGAGUGAUGAAGGUCUUCGGAUCGUAAAACUCUGUUAUUAGGGAAGAACAAAUGUGUAAGUAACUAUGCACGUCUUGACGGUACCUAAUCAGAAAGCCACGGCUAACUACGUG